GUCCACGCCGUAAACGAUGAGUACUAGGUGUUGCGGGUAUUGACCCCUGCAGUGCCGCAGCUAACGCAUUAAGUAUUCCGCCUGGGAAGUACGGUCGCAAGACUAAAACUAAAAGGAAUUGAUGGGGGCCCGCACAAGCGGUGGAGCAUGUGGUUUAAUUAGACGCAACGCGCAGAACCUUACCUGGGCUUGACAUCUAUGGAACCUUCGUGAAAGCGAGGGGUGCCUUUCGGGGAGCCAUAAGACAGGUGCUGCAUGGCUGUCGU
rnacentral:rRNA from 1 species